AUCACUUUUCAGCCCUUUGGCUGAGAUCAAGUGUAGUAUCUGUUCUUAUCAGUUUAAUAUCUGAUAAGUCCUCUAUCCAAGAACAAUAUAUCAAGUGGAGUUUGGAGUUUUGGAGCAGCUCGCUCAGUCCACUCCACGCAUCAACCUGGUACUGCAGUUCCUCCAGGAACUGCACCUCCA
rnacentral:snRNA from 1 species